rnacentral:rRNA from 1 species
AAUUGGAGGGCAAGUCUGGUGCCAGCAGCCGCGGUAAUUCCAGCUCCAAUAGCGUAUAUUAAAGUUGUUGCAGUUAAAAAGCUCGUAGUUGAAUUUCGGGAUCAAUAUGUUGAUCGUGCUUUGGUACGUACUUGCAUCAUUGAUUUCUCCCUUCUGAUGAAUCAUGAUGCCAUUAAUUUGGUGUCGUGAGGAAUCAGGACUGUUACUUUGAAAAAAUUAGAGUGUUUAAGGCAGGCUCACGCUUGAAUACAUUAGCAUGGAAUAAUGAAAUAGGACGUUUGAUUCUAUUUUGUUGGUUUCUAGGAUCGACGUAAUGAUUAAUAGGGAUAGUUGGGGGGCGUUAGUAUUCAAUUGUCAGAGGUGAAAUUCUUGGAUUUAUUGAAGACUAACUACUGCGAAAGCAUUUGCCAAGGAUGUUUUCAUUAAUCAAGAACGAAAGUUAGGGGAUCGAAGACGAUCAGAUACCGUCGUAGUCUUAACCAUAAACUAUGCCGACUAGGGAUCGGAUGAUGUUAAUUUUUUAAUGACUCAUUCGGCACCUUACGGGAAACCAAAGUGU